UUUUUUUUUUUUUUCUUUAGUGAAUUUUUUUCAAUUUAGGUGAAACUUUUUACAUUUUCGGACUCCUCCCAUCAAGAUGAAUAAAAAAAGUAUAAAAUUCACUAAAGAUGAAAAAAAAAUUAUUUUAUUGGGUUUUUUUGCAUGAAGCGAUCUUUGUUUCAAAUUAGGUAAAAAAAAUUAUAUUUUGAGACUCUUCUCGUCAAGAUGAAUCGAAAAAGUAUAAAAUUUUGAUCAAACGGCUAAAAUAUUUUACUAAAGACAAAAAAAAUAAAAAAUAAUACUCCAAACUAGGCCUAAUUAACAAUUUAAAGUGGUUGGAGGAAAAAUUUGAAAGUUUAUUUUAAAAAAUCUUUUUAGAUAUUUGCAGAAAUGGUAAAAUUCUUCAUAUUCACUUUCUGAAUCCAAAAUGUUACUAUUUUUGAUCAUCUAAAAUAAAGGAUUGGGUUGGAGAUGCUCUAAGAAAGGACACCACUUCUCUUAAAUUCAAAGGUUUUAGAGAUUAUCCAAAAAGUUCAUAAUAUAGAUUCCAUCGUGAAAAUCGAUACUGUAAAAAAUUAUGUUAAUCGGAUCUAUACAAAACGAUAUUCACUUAGUACUAUUUUAUAACUUAUUAAAUAAGUGUGACACAUAUGAUUAUACUCAUUUAACUUAAUAUAUAUUAAUUUUGAUCAGGCCAUUAAUUUGUAUCUGAUCAACCAAUGGUCCCCAAGGGUUUGGCAAGGGAAAAGCAAAUGAAAAUAAAAAGUUAGACAAUUCAACUGUUUAAAAACAUUGGAUCCCUUAUCUUUUCUAUUACCUUUUCAUUUUCCAUCACUAGAUCCUUUAUACAAAUACAACCUAUAUGCAAUCUAAAUUUACAUUCAAAACAAUGUAAUUUUAAAUUUAAAAAAAAUAAUUUCAAGUAGAGAAUCUGACCCGUUACGUAGUACCUCCCGGGCGGUUCUUUUUGGUAAAAGCUGUAGCACCUCCCAAGCUGAAAAUGUUUGGAACAUUCUGGGAGUCAGUCAAUGAUCCAAAUCCUAUCUAUUAUACGCUGACCCACAUUGGAGUUACAUUAAAUUAUGAUUCGUCCAAACAUGUUAGAGCAGUGGCUGCCCAAACGGGCCAAACCUAAGUUUGUGAAAAGGGGACCUAUAUGUCACAUUGGAAGUUACUUUAAUUUAUGAUUCGUCCAAACAUGGUACAGCAGUGCCUGCCCAAAUCUAAGUAUGCGAAAAGGAGAACAUUAUAAGUCACAUUGGGAGUUACUUUAAUUUUGUUUUUCAUUCUUGGAAGAUGCAAUGACGGAAUCUGAUCCAUUGUGCGGGUAUAUUCCCAUUUUUCCUCCACAAGUCGCAACUCAUCUCUCUCUCGGUUAACCUUUUUUUCUUAUUUAUAUUCUCCUAAAUGAGUAAAUAAAUUUAGUAUAUUCAUUUAUUUAAAAUUAAGUUAAUUUGAAUGAGAAAUUAUUUCUCAAAAAAUCACCAUUGAAAAGGAAAACAUGGGGAUAUAAAGUUUUAUCCCACAUUAAAAAAAUGAAAGAAAAUUAGUGAAUUUAUAUAUCUCAAGAUUGGCUUUAAAAAAUCGGGUCAUUGGGCACCUCAAGUUUUUUGAGGGAAUGAGUUAUAUACAAAGUAGGCUUGAACUAUUUAACCCAUGAUUCUGACCCACGCGCGGCUGCAACGCAGAUGCCAGUCCCAUCCCAACCGGGUUCGCGUUCGCGAGCUAGGGCUACGGCUAUAAUAAUUUUUUAAAAAAGAUUUAUUCAAAUAUUUUAAUUUCUAAACUGUUAAAAAUUACAUUUUCUUUCCUUAAUUUUUCCUUUCCUUCACGAAAGGUCAUAACAUUCGGAAUUUAUUCGAAAGGUUGUCUUCUGGACGAAUGGGUGCCUCUUCCAAGAUGUGUGGCCAUCUAAAAAGACACCAUACCUCUUAUAAGAGGUGUUAGAACUUCUAUUUAAACCCACAAUCAUUUAACAUUUCAUAUCAUCAAAAAUAGAGAGUAAAAAGUGUUGAAAUUGCAUAACAUUUAAGAGAGAAAAAACACUUAAAAGUUCACCGUGUUCUUAUGAUUUGGAGUACUACUAUCAGAAGAAUGAAAUUGUUGUAUCAUGUGAGUCGUACAUUAUAUUCCAUAAGUACCAAAUACGGGAUGUAAAAUAACUUAAGGAUACUGAACCUAAUUUAGGCAUCAGUCAUUGCAUUUUUUGGUAUUUAUUCUACAUUCCUAUAAGUUUGAUUUUAUGUCUUUCCAAUUAAUUGUUGUAUAUUAUUUUUGUGUUUGAAAAAUCCUACAUUUUGUUAAAACUUUUUGUUUGUUAUAAGGGAAAAAAACAUUUCCCAGCAAUCUUAAGUCAUUUUAUCGUUUGUUUUUUUAAAAUCAAAAAGUUUCUAUUGUUAUAUGCAAAAAAAGUUUUAUUUUAUCUUUUCUGAAUAUUUUGUUAAUUUCAUAAAAUAUGCCUGGUGAUAACACAAAUACUGGUGUGAACAAUCCUACUGCAACAAAUAGUAUAGUUCCAAUUCCAAUUUCGAUGACACCAAAUUUGGUGCCAAUGAUGCAUAUUGUUGUCUUGAUUUACAUGCAAAGAUGGAUAGUUCAAGGGCACCAUAUUUUACUGUCUGGCAAGUAAAUAAAAUUAUGUCACUAAGAAAGGUUCUAAGUCCGAAAACUACAUUUCUUGAUGCGGUAACUCUCCAUUUAUUUCUCUUAGGAUUUGCACUUUACUACAUCUGUUAUCAGUUAAUUUAAUUCAAUGUGGAGGACUGUUAGGAGUUGGGAUUUGACAAAGUGUUGUGAACACAUUUUGGAACUAAAAAAUAAUUAAGUUUUAUAUAUACUAAGUGAGAUGAACAAUGAUUGAUUCAUAUUCUCCUAAAUGAGUAGAUGAAUUUAGUGUAUUCAUUUGUCUAAAACCAAGUUGAUUUGAAUGAGAAAUUAUUUCUCAAAGAAGCACCAUUGCAAAGGGAAAAAAUGGGGAUAGAAAGUUCUAUCCCACAUUGAAAAAAUGAAGAAAAGUUAGUGAGUUUAUAUAACUCAAGUUUGGCUUUAAAAAAUUGGGUCAUUGGGCACUUCAAGUUUUUAGUGGGGAGGAGUUAUAUACAAAGUGGGCUUGAUCCAUUUAACCCAUAAUUUUGACACUCGCAUGGCUACGCCACAGCCCCUGCCUGUCCCAACUCGGUUCGCGGGCUAGGGUUAUAAUAAUUUUUUGAAAAAAUUUAUUUAAAUAUUUUAAUUUUUAAAUUGUUAAAAAUUACACUUUCUUUCUUGAAUUUUUCCUUUUCCUUCCCAAAUGGUCAUAAUGUUCAGAAUUUAUGCAAAAAGUUGUCUUCUGGCCAAAUGGGUGCCUUUUGGAUGAAUGGGUGCCUUCUGGCGAAUGGGUGCCUCUUCCAAGAGGUCUGACCAUCCAGAAAGGCACCAUACCUCUUUUAAGAGGUGUGAGAACUUUUAUUUAAACCCACAAUAAUUUAGAAUUUUAGACAUCAAAAAUAGAGAUUAAAAAAUUCUGAAAUUGCAUAAUAUCAUCUAGCAUUUUAGUAUACAUUUGAAAGACAAAAAACACUUGAAGGUUCGCCGUAUUCUUCUACUUUGGAGUACUACUAUUAGAAAUUUGAAUAUGUUCAUAAUAUCAUAAUGUUUUAUGUUUUAUAAAUGAAAACAUAGCUUGUAUUUAAAGCUGAUAUGUUUUAUGUGUAAAAGCAUGCUUUGUUUUGUUGUACUAUGAAAUUAUGAAAAUGAUACUUGUGAAAAAUAUGUUUAAGUCGACACAUAGUUCAUACGAUGCCCCAUUUGCUAGGGGGAGAAUAUAGCAUGGUUGAUGUAAUAAGGUGAUUAUGACCAGAUGAUUGUUGGAUGAAUUCAUACCAAAAGGUUUAGGGUCGCUCCCUAUGACUGGUGUUCGUUAAACGGUUAUAUGUGUCGCAUAUUGUCAAUUGUAAAUAAAUUUAAAAUUUGACGUAUAGUCAAGGAUUAUUUGGCGUACUUGAGCCAUGAAUCCCAUGGAUGGAUUGUCAUAUUUGGCGUACCUGAGCCAUAAAUCCCGUGAAGGGAUUGUCAUAUUUAGUGUACCUAAGUCAUGAAUCCCGUGGAGGGAUUGUUAUAGUUGGCGUACUUGAGCCAUGAUUAUAUUUGUAUCUUGACAGAUAGUCAAGGGUUGGCGUAUUUGAGCCAUGAGUCUAGUGGAGAGACUAUUAUAUAUUGAAUAUUGACGGAUAGUCAAGGGUUGGCGUAUUUGAGCCAUGAGUCUAGUGGAGAGACUAUUAUAUAUUGAAUAUUGACGGAUAGUCAAGGGUUGGUCUAAUUGAGCCAUGGAUUGAUAAAAAUGGAUUUUAUGUUUUUGAAAUGAACCUGAUUUUCAUAUCUUUUUAUGGGUGCAUGUACGUUUUAUAUAACCUGACUCACACUAGUCUAGUGGUUAAGACGUUGUCGAACGUAACUCAUUUCAGGUAAUGGAAAUUAGGAGGAAUGCAAUUGAGGGCGGGUGACCUUGGGGUACUGAUUUUUGAUGUUUUGAACUUUGUAUAGUUUUGAAACUUGUAUAGUUAAACUGAUACAGUAGUUAUUGACAGUUAUGCCGGUUGUGGUCAGAACUGUGUUAAUUUUUGUGUAUCAACACCAUGUUGAUAGUUGUAUAGAUUUGCAUUUAGUUGAAUGUAGUGACACGUUAGCUCUGAUUUUAUUGGUUAAUUUUCCGCAUGUGUUCAUUCAAGCAAUUUAUGUUGAAUAAUAUUAGUAAAUCCCUAAACUGAGUUAAUUAGGAAGGUCUUAGUGAGAUGGAAUUUUACUGGCCGAUCACGUGACACCUAUAUGAUUGGUGAAACCCAGUGUAUAACGGGUCGGGCAUGACAAAAGUGGUAUCAGAGCUCAAGUUUAGGGAUUUCCCUUGGCAUCACGUAACACCUGUAUAAUUGGUUUACUCAGUGUAUAACGGGUCGGGUCGUGACAUAUGGUCAGUGAGCAAAAUUGGAAUUGAAGGUGUCGACACAUGGGUUUUAGGUGUCGACACAUGAUGACAGUGGAUAAUA
rnacentral:lncRNA from 1 species